rnacentral:rRNA from 1 species
GAUUAACGCUGGCGGCGUGCCUAACACAUGCAAGUCGAGCGGCAGCGAGUUUUACACUGAAUUCUGGAAGCUUCUAGUUGAAAGAGAAGAUUUAUUCAAGAAUUUUGUGUAAAAUGUCGGCGAGCGGCGGACGGCUGAGUAACGCGUGGGAACGUACCCCAAAGUGAGGGAUAACGCAUCGAAAGGUGUGCUAAUACCGCAUAUGGUCUUCGGAUUAAAGCCUUCGGGCGCUUUGGGAACGGCCUGCGUAGGAUUAGAUAGUUGGUGGGGUAAUGGCCUACCAAGUCGACGAUCUUUAACUGGUUUGAGAGGAUGAUCAGUCAGACUGGAACUGAGACACGGUCCAGACUCCUACGGGAGGCAGCAGUGAGGAAUCUUCCACAAUGGGCGAAAGCCUGAUGGAGCAACGCCGCGUGCAGGAUGAAGGCCUUCGGGUUGUAAACUGCUUUUAUAAGUGAGGAUUAUGACAGUAACUUAUGAAUAAGGAUCGGCUAACUACGUG